GCAGAGCAGGGAAGAACUUAUGUGGUGUGGGAAGUAAAUAGUGCAGGAUAUUUCCAGUCUACUCCGCCUGAGGCUGGAGCCCUAGCAGCUUCAAAAGCAGACAGAGUGAUAAGUAUGAGGAACCUGUCAGUAUAGAAGCAGGACGUUCAUGGGAAGUAACAUAAAUAGUCCACAGGGAGUAACUGAAGCUUGUUAGUGGAACUACUGAGGACAGAAGAGCUUAUGUCCUCUGUGAUGCCUCAGCCACAACAGAGGGAGGAAGGGGAGGAGGAAGAUGAAGAGCAAGGGGAGAAGUUUGGGUUUGUCGACAGUGCUGAUGAAGAGAAAGAGCCAGCGGAUUGUAAAGACCCUGUCUCACACUCUGUAAAAGCCAGUCAAAAAUCAAACCAGUCAUUUAAGGAGGCUACAAACCCACCACAGGACAACACACUAACACCCACUGCACACUCACAACAGCACCUCAAUGCAAUGCCCCCUGCUGGUCAGGAGGAGGCUCCCUCCCAGGGACAAUACUCCACAGCCUCUCCAGAUGUUCCAGUUAGCGACCCACGCAGGCGGGUCUCUGGCCCCGUUGAGCUGGUUGAGCCCAGUGACGGAGCACCCUCCGUGGGAGAGCAGGCCCAGGGAGGUUCUGGUCCUGGAGAGGCGUUACCUGUGGAGAAGCAGACUGACUGGGAGGACCAUAGUGUGGAGAUACCCAAGGAGAGCUCAAGUCUGAGGGAACACUCUGAAGAUGUGACUGAUGCUGAGGCUGAGGCUGAGGCUGAUGCAGAGCCCCAGACAGGGAUCCUAGAGGUGAUCUAUGAUGACGUGCCCUGUGAGGGACCACUCUCUCCUGACGAAGGGGACAUGCUCUAUGAGGAUGUACACAGAGAAGAUGGGCCCCAGGGUGCAGGCAAUGAUUGGAGCUCCAGUGAGUUUGAGAGCUACGAAGAGCAGUCUGAUACCGAGAGCAAACUACCAACCCUCAGCAAGGUUCAUCAGCUAAUGAAGGCCGCCAGGAGUGGGACCAAGGAUGGACUGGACAAGACCAGAAUAGCCUUUAUGCGAAAAGUCUCCUUCCUGCACAAGAAGGACCACUCAGAGGAUGUGGAGGAUGACGCAGGGUACCUGGAUGUGGCUGUGUCAGAUGUGAAACAUCCUCCUGUACAGCUGAGCCCUAUGCCUGAGGGACUGAGCAGCCAGCAGGUGGUCAGACGUCACAUCCUGGGCUCCAUCAUUCAGAGUGAGCGCAGUUAUCUUGAAUCCCUCAGGAGAAUCCUUGAGGAGUACCAGAGCCCAUUGCUGGAGGCGAACCCACGCAUCCUGAGCCCACGGAAGAUCCAGCCUGUAUUUUACCGCCUACGGGAGAUCACUCAGUGUCACUCCAUGUUCCAGAUCGCACUGGCGUCACGUGUGGCUGAGUGGGACAGCAGUGAGAAGAUUGGGGACCUAUUUGUGGCCUCGUUUUCUAAGUCGAUGGUGCUAGAUGUUUACAGCGACUAUGUCAAUAACUUCACCAAUGCCAUGGCCCUCAUAAAAAAGGCAUGCAUGUCCAAACCAGCUUUCCUGGAAUUCUUAAAGAUGAAACAGGCGUCCAGUGUUGACCGGAUCACCCUGUACGGCCUCAUGGUGAAGCCCAUCCAACGCUUUCCCCAGUUCAUCCUUUUACUGCAGGACAUGCUGAAGAACACACCUAAGGGUCACGUAGACUGCCUGCCUCUGCAGCUGGCUCUGACUGAACUAGAAAUGUUGGCCGAGAAGCUGAAUGAACAGAAGCGUGUGGCCGACCAAAUAGCUGAGACUCAGCAGCUAGCACGCAGUGUCAGCGACCGCUCGCUCAGCAAGCAACUGAACUCAGACCAGGGGUCGCUGGUGCUUUGUGAGACACUGAUUGAGACGGUGUAUGGGGAGCGAGGCCAGGUCCUGAAGUCUAAGGAGCGCAAAGUCUUCCUCUUCAACGAUAUCCUCAUCUGUGCCAACAUCAACGUCAAGGGGCCCCUUGAUAUCAGCAGCCUAGUCCCUGUUGGUCCUAAGUACACCGUGAAGUGGAGUGCCCCCCUGCUGCAGGUCCAGGUAGUGGAGGUGGGUCAGGAGGCCUCCCAGGAGACCCUGUUCCAACUUGGCGGUGCCAAGCACCCUGGCAGUGCCUGUCCCCCAGGGAAAGUGAUCCUGGGUCCUCCACGGCUUUACCAGGAACUCCAGGACCUGCAGCACGACUUGUCUGUGGUGGAGGAGGUCACACUACUGGUGGGAACACUACAGGGGACAUACCAGAACCUGAACACGACUGUGGCCCAGGACUGGUGUCUAGCUCUACAGAGACUCAUUCGGAUCAAGGAGGAUCAACUUCAGAGUGCCAACAAGUGCCGCUUACGCCUGCAGGUGCUUGGGAGACCAGACAAGUCGGGACGUCCCGUCAGCUUCAUGGUGGUUUUCAACACCCCCAGCCCCCUCAGCAAGAUCUCCUGGGUCAACCGGCUGCACCUGGCCCAGAUUGCGCAGCGAGAGGAGAACACACCAGGAUGGUUCUGUGCAGAGGAUGAAGGGAAGACCAUGUCACCAUUUUGGCCUUUACUGGCCUGCCGUGUGCCUGUCUUUACCACCAAAUCCUCGGACAGGAAGUUUGAAGCUGCCCUUCACAAUCCAGGACAGUUCUCUGCAGGGUGCACCUUGCUACCUCAAGGUUACCUCUGGGUGGCCAGCGGAGGAGAUGUCACCCAGGGGCAGGUGGAGAUAUUCUCCCUGAACAGGCCCACACUGCGCCCAGUGAAGAGCCUCCAGGUGGGGGCCCCAGUGAGGUGUCUGGAAUAUGUGCCUGAACCCAGAACCUCAGAGGAGGUGGAGGCUGUAGCCUUCAGGAGCUCUACUGGGGUGGGGAACACCAUCUGUUUGGGACUAGAUGAUGGAAGCAUCCUGGUGUAUGGCAGUGUGAACACUGAGGCCCAGUGCCUGUUGAACCUGCGAAACCCUCAUAGCUGCCCUGUUCUGUGCCUCAAACACUGCACCAACUUCCUGUUUGCUGGGCUCAGGGAUGGAACCAUGAUGGUCUAUGGAAGAAGUAAUGGAGGUGAGUUGUGGGAGCCAGACUCCAGCAGGACUGUUAUUGUGGGCCCAGAGCCGGUGAGGACACUUCUUUUACUGGAGGACUCUAUGUGGGCCAGCUGUGCCAACUCUGUGACCAUCAUCGAGGGCUCCAGCCUUGCCACCCAGAGGUUUGAGGUACACCCAGACCCCAUGGUGACCGUGGCCCAUAUGGUGCGGGCUGGGGGAGGAGUUUGGAUGGCCUUUAGUGAGGGCUCUUCUAUUCGCCUGUUCCACACUGAGACACUGGAGCAUCUGCAGGAAAUCAACAUCUCCACGCGAGUAUCUUUGCACAACCCAGGUAACAGAAAGAGAAAGGAAACAGUAACCAGCUGAACAUGACAGUAUGCCAGUGGGAGGCAGGACAGUAGCAGGCCAGAAGAGCAUGCGUGUCACCAGCCUGCUCAUCCACCAGGGGCUGCUGUGGGUGGGCACUGUUCAGGGAAUCAUCAUCACUCUGCCUGUGCCCAAACUGGAGGGCAUCCCCAAAAUAACAGGAAAGGGGAUGACCUCUCUGAAUGCCCACUGUGGUCCGGUGGACUUCCUGGUGGCCACGUCCAGCACCCUGUCCCCAGAGCUACUGAAGAGGGAUUCUGUGGCGGACGGACCCGACUCUGCCUGCGGAGAGGAGGACCGCAGUUACUCCUCCUCCCAGGAGUCUCUGCCGCAAUCAGGCUCCUCCCAGGGGGAGGGGGGGGGCAAGGGGCGGGGUGUGCUGCUACAGUACAGGUUGCGCUCCACUUCGGGGUUGCCAGGGCGACCGCUAACGGUGAGGGGCGAUGAAGCAUCGGACUCCUCCCUGGAGUCUUUGGAGCACAGCCUGGAGGACGGCUCAAUCUAUGAGUUCAGUGGCGACCCAGAGAUGUGGGUGCAGGGACGCCCCUGUGAGCGGGACGGGGGGCGCAGGGACAGAGGGAUUUCGGCAGCGGUCAUAUCUGGGGGCAGGGGUUUCCACAGACUGAGGGAAGGGACAACGGAGCGGGCGGGGGUGGAGUCUUCAGAAACAACCCUGAUGAUGUGGGAACUACCACUGACAGUGUGAUCUGGGUAUCAACACUCAGGCAGUGUAGAGGGGAGAAGCAGAUCUUUUCCCCAGCCCUGAAUCCUCUCCAUCCCGUAAUGCCAGGAACAUGAACCAUGUGAAAGCAGGACAUUAGUGCUGGCACAGAGCACAAGGCCAGGCUGAUGACUCUUUGUGUUAGGGAGCUCCUGCAUGCUCCAUCUGAGGAGACCUGCUGGUGACCUGUGAGGCAUGGGGUACUGCCAUCCCAUUGGUGGAUCUGGAUGACCCUGCUUACUCAUUCUCAGCCACAGGUCCAGAGCCUUUCUUGUGACAUCUUAAACUGGUCCUCUCCCCUCCUUACAAGUAUGGAUAUGCCGAAAUCAAGCAUCAUCAGAGCUGACAGUGCUUGCCUCACACAGAUUUCUCUCCCACGGUUGACAGCCUUCCUUUGUGAGUAAGAAUUGACCACAUUUCUUUGAGAGUGACACUUUGUUGAAUCUGCCAUGCUGCAGUGCCGAAGAUGGACCUCUUUUAUCUGAAGCCAUCUGUUUAGGGCUGAGAAAAGCUGAGAAACUACUGUAGGUGUUAUUUAGUUCUAUUAGUUCAGAAAACCUCAAGCACUCCCUGGCAAUGUGAAAUAUGUGAAAUGUCUGUCAAUGUGUCACAAGUGAAUCUGUGCUUUUAGAAAAAUGAAAGUGUGUUGGACGCUGACUGUGAGUCCUUAAUCGUCAGAUUUCUUUUCUACUGCAUAAAUAGGUAGGUUAUCUGAGAUAUGAGAGGGAAUAGAAGGCAAUGUCUUUGUGUCCUGGUCUAUCAGAGUUUAGUAGUUUUACAUUUAAAUGUUCCCACUUGUAUUACUACAAAGUGCAAAAUGCACACCAUUCAUGUUUCUUGUGGAUGACGAUGAUAUUGUCCAUUUUAAGUCAGUUAAAGCAAAUAUAUCCACACCAGCAUGAUAAUAUGCAACAAACUGCAUGUAACCUAUGUUACACAACAAAAGGCCUACUGAAUUCAGUACAAUAGACAACGGCUACAACUGCUGCAGCCACCCAGACGUCAUUAGUGGCUGUGUGGAGGCACCUAAAACGGAGAAUGCUUUGUAUGGGUUUUUGUGGCAAUUUAACACACACGAACCUUUGAUAAAUCUAUCCCCUAGUGUCCUUAAGCAUUUUUAUCUCCUUUCCUUCACUCCCUGUUUGAAGCCAUUGCCAUCGGUGGUUUGGUGUGCUAACAGAGACAUGGUAAUCUCCUGCCCUGUUUCUGUUUCUAUUGUAUUCUGCUACAACGGAAAUGGCCUACCUUUGACAAUGUCUUUGAAAAUUGUUGAUUGACAAAUUCAUUGAGAUGUUUGGCUAUGAAUGCAUGGUGUUGAAGACUUGGUGUUAUUUUGCGUUUCCUAUGCUGCUGGAUGGAAAUGAUGGUCGAUUCCAUAUUUUGUCACCACUUCUGUAGAAUAUGUUGUAUAAUUCCCUUUACAUCUCCAUACCCGAGUUCUCUUUUUCAUCCCAGUAGAAGGUCCUGCUUUCUAUGGUUCUGAAACAUUAUUUUAUUUUACUUCGUCUCCCCGGCAUUAAAAUACAGUUGCUUUGGUUAACAGGUCAAGGUCAACAGAAAACAUAACUCAGUACAGUGUUGCGUUGUUUCUAUAAAAAUGUACAGUGCACAUGAGAAAAGCUGUUGAAAGCGUACUGUACAAGACUUGUUUAGUGUUCCUAUGAUAAUACUAUUCUACAACACUAUUCUGGAGGUCACCCACAUGUCAAGGUUAUUUGGAUGUAGCCAGAGUGUAUGAUUGAGUAACCUUUAUGUAGUAUACAUCAUUGGCGGUCGGUGCCGUUUAAGAUGAGGGAGGCCGAUAUUUUUUAUUUUAUGAGAAUGACCUUAUUUCUACAACAUAUUGGAGGACUGUCAUUCACAUUCUAUUCACCCAGAUCAAUGUAAUAUUGAUAGGUUUAGGCUACUACAUGAUACUCAAAUGUUCCCUAUACCCAUCAUGAGGUUACAACCUAGCUUCCGAAUUAAAGUUUACGACGUACAUGUAGGUGCACAGGUUGAGAGAGAAAUUACAUAUUCAAUAUCGCCUUGCAGACUCUUGCCUGCAUCUAGUUGAUCUAGGGUGUAAUCAUUAGUCCAACAGUUGCAAAUGAGAGUUUCUGUUGGACAAAUUCAGGCAUGUUUAUCCCCGUUUCAUUCUGUUUGCUUCCAUUUAAGUUUUUCAACAGAAUCGGCAAAAUGAAUAAACCCCUGACCACCGCAAACACAGUUUACUAUCAUAGCAGCCACAUACAAACAGCAUGGUCAUUUGCUUGUUGUAUAAUUCCUUCUCUCAUCUACAGUACGCAUUCUCAUCAUCUUAUACUUUCCAUUUCUCUUGUGGGAUUCAUAUCUUAAUGUGUAUCUUAAUGUGUGUCCGUCCUCUCAUCCUUCCCCAUCAUUUUAGCCUCAAUAUUAUUUUAUCUAUUCACACUCAUAAAUGGAGAUUGUCUAUUAUAACUUUACACUCAUACUAACCAUGCUGUCUGUUCCUAUAAAACAAAAUUUGCAGCUACUAGAAGCUACCCAUACUUUGACUUUCAUUCACAUAAUUGAAAAUAAUGUGCCCUUAUAAUAUUAUAGACUUUGACACCUCUGUGGUAGAGAAAGAGGCUUAUGAUAAGUCACUCGGUUUAACUCUUGAACAUCAUGAAAUAAUGUGACUCAGUUGUAUAAGUGGAUAGAUUGAGAGGUCUAACAUUAGAUGUACAGUAUAAUGUUAAGUUACAUUGCACAUAUAAAACAAUGCUUAACUCCAUUAAAUGUCAAUUCCAAUUGCCCUUUGGUACGUUAAUGAAUACAUGUUUACAUACUGUACUUUAAAAGUGUUUCAUAAUUCAUGUGUAAUAUGUCAAUGUUAAAUAAAUACUUCAUAGCGAUAACAUGAUAUUCCAAUUAUCUU